UACGUAGGGGGCGAGCGUUGUCCGGAAUCACUGGGCGUAAAGCGUGCGUAGGCGGUUUGUUAAGUCCGAAGUGAAAGUCCAGGGCUCAACCUUGGGAUUGCUUUGGAAACUGGCAGACUUGAGUGCUGGAGAGGCAAGGGGAAUUCCACGUGUAGCGGUGAAAUGCGUAGAUAUGUGGAGGAAUACCAGUGGCGAAGGCGCCUUGCUGGACAGUGACUGACGCUGAGGCACGAAAGCGUGGGGAG
rnacentral:rRNA from 1 species